GUCCAAAAUACAGUGAUGUUGUCUUUUCCAAGCACGUAUCUAGUUGUGUUGUGUGGGAAAAUGACUUGCUGAGUGAUCUUAGAU